GAUUAAGUUAUUAAGGGCGCACGGUGGAUGCCUUGGCACUAGAAGCCGAUGAAGGACGUUACUAACGACGAUAUGCUUUGGGGAGCUGUAAGUAAGCUUUGAUCCAGAGAUUUCCGAAUGGGGAAACCCAGCAUGAGUUAUGUCAUGUUAUCGAUAUGUGAAUACAUAGCAUAUCAGAAGGCACACCCGGAGAACUGAAACAUCUUAGUACCCGGAGGAAGAGAAAGAAAAUUCGAUUCCCUUAGUAGCGGCGAGCGAAACGGGAAGAGCCCAAACCAACAAGCUUGCUUGUUGGGGUUGUAGGACACUCUAUACGGAGUUACAAAGGACGACAUUAGACGAAUCAUCUGGAAAGAUGAAUCAAAGAAGGUAAUAAUCCUGUAGUCGAAAAUGUUGUCUCUCUUGAGUGGAUCCUGAGUACGACGGAGCACGUGAAAUUCCGUCGGAAUCUGGGAGGACCAUCUCCUAAGGCUAAAUACUCUCUAGUGACCGAUAGUGAACCAGUACCGUGAGGGAAAGGUGAAAAGCACCCCGGAAGGGGAGUGAAAUAGAACCUGAAACCGUGUGCUUACAAGUAGUCAGAGCCCGUUAAUGGGUGAUGGCGUGCCUUUUGUAGAAUGAACCGGCGAGUUACGAUUUGAUGCAAGGUUAAGCAGUAAAUGUGGAGCCGUAGCGAAAGCGAGUCUGAAUAGGGCGUUUAGUAUUUGGUCGUAGACCCGAAACCAGGUGAUCUACCCUUGGUCAGGUUGAAGUUCAGGUAACACUGAAUGGAGGACCGAACCGACUUACGUUGAAAAGUGAGCGGAUGAACUGAGGGUAGCGGAGAAAUUCCAAUCGAACCUGGAGAUAGCUGGUUCUCUCCGAAAUAGCUUUAGGGCUAGCCUCAAGUGAUGAUUAUUGGAGGUAGAGCACUGUUUGGACGAGGGGCCCCUCUCGGGUUACCGAAUUCAGACAAACUCCGAAUGCCAAUUAAUUUAACUUGGGAGUCAGAACAUGGGUGAUAAGGUCCGUGUUCGAAAGGGAAACAGCCCAGACCACCAGCUAAGGUCCCAAAAUAUAUGUUAAGUGGAAAAGGAUGUGGCGUUGCCCAGACAACUAGGAUGUUGGCUUAGAAGCAGCCAUCAUUUAAAGAGUGCGUAAUAGCUCACUAGUCGAGUGACACUGCGCCGAAAAUGUACCGGGGCUAAACAUAUUACCGAAGCUGUGGAUUGUCCUUUGGACAAUGGUAGGAGAGCGUUCUAAGGGCGUUGAAGCAUGAUCGUAAGGACAUGUGGAGCGCUUAGAAGUGAGAAUGCCGGUGUGAGUAGCGAAAGACGGGUGAGAAUCCCGUCCACCGAUUGACUAAGGUUUCCAGAGGAAGGCUCGUCCGCUCUGGGUUAGUCGGGUCCUAAGCUGAGGCCGACAGGCGUAGGCGAUGGAUAACAGGUUGAUAUUCCUGUACCACCUAUAAUCGUUUUAAUCGAUGGGGGGACGCAGUAGGAUAGGCGAAGCGUGCGAUUGGAUUGCACGUCUAAGCAGUAAGGCUGAGUAUUAGGCAAAUCCGGUACUCAUUAAGGCUGAGCUGUGAUGGGGAGAAGACAUUGUGUCUUCGAGUCGUUGAUUUCACACUGCCGAGAAAAGCCUCUAGAUAGAAAAUAGGUGCCCGUACCGCAAACCGACACAGGUAGUCAAGAUGAGAAUUCUAAGGUGAGCGAGCGAACUCUCGUUAAGGAACUCGGCAAAAUGACCCCGUAACUUCGGGAGAAGGGGUGCUCUUUAGGGUUAACGCCCAGAAGAGCCGCAGUGAAUAGGCCCAAGCGACUGUUUAUCAAAAACACAGGUCUCUGCUAAACCGUAAGGUGAUGUAUAGGGGCUGACGCCUGCCCGGUGCUGGAAGGUUAAGAGGAGUGGUUAGCUUCUGCGAAGCUACGAAUCGAAGCCCCAGUAAACGGCGGCCGUAACUAUAACGGUCCUAAGGUAGCGAAAUUCCUUGUCGGGUAAGUUCCGACCCGCACGAAAGGCGUAACGAUUUGGGCACUGUCUCAACGAGAGACUCGGUGAAAUCAUAGUACCUGUGAAGAUGCAGGUUACCCGCGACAGGACGGAAAGACCCCGUGGAGCUUUACUGUAGCCUGAUAUUGAAAUUCGGCACAGCUUGUACAGGAUAGGUAGGAGCCUUUGAAACGUGAGCGCUAGCUUACGUGGAGGCGCUGGUGGGAUACUACCCUAGCUGUGUUGGCUUUCUAACCCGCACCACUUAUCGUGGUGGGAGACAGUGUCAGGCGGGCAGUUUGACUGGGGCGGUCGCCUCCUAAAAGGUAACGGAGGCGCUCAAAGGUUCCCUCAGAAUGGUUGGAAAUCAUUCAUAGAGUGUAAAGGCAUAAGGGAGCUUGACUGCGAGACCUACAAGUCGAGCAGGGUCGAAAGACGGACUUAGUGAUCCGGUGGUUCCGCAUGGAAGGGCCAUCGCUCAACGGAUAAAAGCUACCCCGGGGAUAACAGGCUUAUCUCCCCCAAGAGUUCACAUCGACGGGGAGGUUUGGCACCUCGAUGUCGGCUCAUCGCAUCCUGGGGCUGUAGUCGGUCCCAAGGGUUGGGCUGUUCGCCCAUUAAAGCGGUACGCGAGCUGGGUUCAGAACGUCGUGAGACAGUUCGGUCCCUAUCCGUCGUGGGCGUAGGAAAUUUGAGAGGAGCUGUCCUUAGUACGAGAGGACCGGGAUGGACAUACCUCUGGUGUACCAGUUGUCGUGCCAACGGCAUAGCUGGGUAGCUAUGUGUGGACGGGAUAAGUGCUGAAAGCAUCUAAGCAUGAAGCCCCCCUCAAGAUGAGAUUUCCCAACUUCGGUUAUAAGAUC
rnacentral:rRNA from 1 species